AACACUUCUUGACCUUUUUGCUAAGAUCAAGUGUAGUAUCUGUUCUUAUCAGUUUCAUUUUGAACACAGAGGAAAUUUUUCCUAAAACACUUUAUAUCAUUUUUUUAAAAUAUUUAUUAUUAUUGGAAAGCCAGAUAUACAGAGAGGAGGAGAGACAGAGAGAAAGAUCUUCCGUCCGAUGAUUCACUCCCC